AAGUCGUAACAAGGUUUCCGUAGGUGAACCUGCGGAAGGAUCAUUACAGAGAACUUGCCCUUCGGGGUAGAUCUCCCACCCUUUGUUUACAUUACCUUUGUUGCUUUGGCAGGCCCGUCCCUCGGGACCGCCGGCUUCGGCUGGCCCGCGCCUGCCAGAGGACCCUAAAACUCUUGUUUAAAUGUCAUCUGAGUACUUAUAAUAAGUUAAAA
rnacentral:misc_RNA from 1 species